rnacentral:rRNA from 1 species
UAGUUGGUAGUGUAAUGGACUACCAAGGCGAUGAUACAUAGCCGACCUGAGAGGGUGAUCGGCCACAUUGGGACUGAGACACGGCCCAAACUCCUACGGGAGGCAGCAGUAGGGAAUCUUCGGCAAUGGACGAAAGUCUGACCGAGCAACGCCGCGUGAGUGAAGAAGGUUUUCGGAUCGUAAAACUCUGUUGUUAGAGAAGAAUGUUGCAUAGAGUGGAAAAUUAUGCAAGUGACGGUAUCUAACCAGAAAGGGACGGCUAACUACGUGCCAGCAGCCGCGGUAAUACGUAGGUCCCGAGCGUUGUCCGGAUUUAUUGGGCGUAAAGCGAGCGCAGGUGGUUUAAUAAGUCUGAUGUAAAAGGCAGUGGCUCAACCAUUGUGUGCAUUGGAAACUGUUAGACUUGAGUGCAGUAGAGGAGAGUGGAAUUCCAUGUGUAGCGGUGAAAUGCGUAGAUAUAUGGAGGAACACCGGUGGCGAAAGCGGCUCUCUGGACUGUCACUGACACUGAGGCUCGAAAGCGUGGGUAGCAAACAGGAUUAGAUACCCUGGUAGUCCACGCCGUAAACGAUGAGUGCUAGUUGUUUGGGGCUAUCCAGCCCUAAGUGACGCAGCAAACGCAUAAGC